AUUGAACGCUGGCGGCAUGCUUUACACAUGCAAGUCGAACGGCAGCGCGGGCUUCGGCCUGGCGGCGCGUGGCGAACGGGUGAGUAAUGCAUCGGAACGUGACCAGUAGUGGGGGAUAGCCCGGCGACAGCCGGAUUAAUACCGCAUACGACCUGAGGGUGAAAGCGGGGGACCAAAAGGCCUCGCGCGAUUUGAGCGGCCGAUGUCGGAUUAGCUAGUUGGUGAGGUAAAGGCUUACCAAGGCGACGAUCCGUAGCUGGUCUGAGAGGACGACCAGCCACACUGGGACUGAGACACGGCCCAGACUCCUACGGGAGGCAGCAGUGGGGAAUUUUGGACAAUGGGCGCAAGCCUGAUCCAGCCAUGCCGCGUGCGGGAAGAAGGCCUUCGGGUUGUAAACCGCUUUUGUUCGGGAAGAAAACCUGUGGGCUAAUACCCCGGGGGGAUGACGGUACCGGAAGAAUAAGCAACGGCUAACUACGUG
rnacentral:rRNA from 1 species